UACGUAGGGGGCUAGCGUUGUCCGGAUUUAUUGGGCGUAAAGAGCGUGUAGGCGGCUCGUUGCGUCGGCUGUGAAAACCCGCGGCUCAACUGCGGGCCUGCAGCCGAUACGGGCAGGCUAGAGUUCGGUAGGGGAGACUGGAAUUCCUGGUGUAGCGGUGAAAUGCGCAGAUAUCAGGAGGAACACCGGUGGCGAAGGCGGUGAUCUGGGCCGACACUGACGCUGUAGAGCGAAAGCGUGGGGAGCGAACAGG
rnacentral:rRNA from 1 species